rnacentral:rRNA from 1 species
GUGCCAGCAGCCGCGGUAAGACAGAGGGUGCAAACGUUGCUCGGAAUUACUGGGCGUAAAGCGCAUGUAGGCGGCUUUGUAAGUCGGUUGUGAAAUCCCUCGGCUUAACCGAGGAAGGGCAGUCGAUACUGCAAAGCUAGAGUACCGGAGAGGGUCGUGGAAUUCCUGGUGUAGAGGUGAAAUUCGUAGAUAUCAGGAGGAACACCGGCGGCGAAGGCGGCGACCUGGACGGAUACUGACGCUCAGAUGCGAAAGCGUGGGUAGCAAACAGGAUUAGAAACCCGUGUAGUCC